UUUAUCUCAUGUCGUCUUUUCCCCUAUGGUUAUGCAAAUCCUCGGAAUAGGGGGCAAGGGGAAGAGCUAAUUUUAAAGUCAGUAAAUUCCAGUGGAAGAUUUCUUCAGUCGCUCCGAGCGGGACUAUCCUGGGUGCUGUUGCAGAGCUGUGGCUACCUCCAAAUAGCACAGGGGUAUUGAAGAUGAUAUACAGCCAUGAUCUUAGAUUAUGAUGAAACUGCACCUUCAGUUCUGCCAGUAUCACUUGCUGCACUCAUCCAGCUGCGGAGAGACUGCUGGAAGGAAAGACCAUGUCCAGGGUCCCUCAUCCCCAUGCCUGAAUGAACAGGAGGGCUGCCAGAUUCCUUUUAGUUUGUGAGCUGUUCAAAUCCAGACUCUUCCAAAUCAAGCUCCUGUCACCAUCUAUAUCCAUAUGAGAAGAGUGGAUACGCCAAAGCAAUAAAAGACAUUUUGUGUAUCCUCCCUUGUCAUCAUGGAAAUCUGGACCGACUUCAAAACAUACUUAUUUCAAAACAUACAAAUAAGGCAAUCAGAUACUGAUGUUCAGAGCAUUUACCUCUCUGUUUACCCAAAUUUAGUUGAAGAGCCCUUGAAAUAAUUAGGACUGCUGCAGCCACAGGUGAAAUCUCUCUUUUCUUUAGCCACCUGUAGAUUACUAUGAUAAAUCCUUGUUUGAAACAGCAGCUGCCCAAAAGGAGGUGCUUGUGUGAACGCUGUCUUGAGGGGGGAGAAAGUUCAAGGGAGGAUGAAAACUCCUCUGACGUUUUUCAGAAUACAGUUAUGCCCUGAGAAUUGCUACUUUACUCCUGUUCUGCAACACAUAAAUACACGUCAGAUGUGUGGUAAACCAAAUUCUCUCAGGAUCUUGUCCUGAAAGAGGAAAAGACAUGAUGAUUUAAAGGCUACAUCUGCAGCUCUUGCAGCUGCUUCGGUUCCUGCUGCUGGAGGAAAAUUCCCUGCAUCAAC